rnacentral:rRNA from 1 species
UGAGGAAUAUUGGUCAAUGGGCGGGAGCCUGAACCAGCCAAGUCGCGUGAGGGAAGACGGUCCUAUGGAUUGUAAACCUCUUUUGUCGGGGAGCAAAGAGGCCACGUGUGGUCAAAAGCGAGAGUACCCGAAGAAAAAGCAUCGACUAACUCCGUGCC